AGAGUUUGAUCCUGGCUCAGGACGAACGCUGGCGGCGUGCCUAACACAUGCAAGUCGAGCGAGAAGAGUUCCUUCGGGAGUAAUUCUAGCGGCGGACGGGUGAGUAACACGUGGGCAACCUGCCUUAGUGAGGGGGAUAGCCUCCCGAAAGGGAGAUUAAUACCGCAUAACAUUAUUCUAUCGCAUGAUAGAAUAAUCAAAGGAGCAAUCCGCACUAAGAUGGGCCCGCGGCGCAUUAGCUAGUUGGUGAGGUAACGGCUCACCAAGGCGACGAUGCGUAGCCGACCUGAGAGGGUGAUCGGCCACAUUGGAACUGAGACACGGUCCAGACUCCUACGGGAGGCAGCAGUGGGGAAUAUUGCGCAAUGGGGGAAACCCUGACGCAGCAACGCCGCGUGAGCGAUGAAGGUCUUCGGAUUGUAAAGCUCUGUCUUUAGGGACGAUAAUGACGGUACCUAAGGAGGAAGCCACGGCUAACUACGUGCCAGCAGCCGCGGUAAUACGUAGGUGGCAAGCGUUGUCCGGAUUUACUGGGCGUAAAGAGUAUGUAGGCGGAUAUUUAAGUCAGAUGUGAAAUUCCCGGGCUUAACCUGGGCGCUGCAUUUGAUACUGGAUAUCUAGAGUGUGGGAGAGGAGGGAGGAAUUCCUAGUGUAGCGGGUGAAAUGCCGAGAGAUUANGAAGAACACCAGUGGCNAAGGCGGCUUUCUGGGACCAUAACUGACGNUGAGAUACNAAAGNGUGGGGAGCAAACNGGAUUAGAUACCCUGNUAGUCCACNCCCUAAANNAUGAAUACUNCGUGUCNGGGGUAUUAAAACUCAAAGGAAUUGACGGGGACCCGCACAAGCAGCGGAGCAUGUGGUUUAAUUCGAAGCAACGCGAAGAACCUUACCUAGACUUGACAUCUCCUGAAUUACUCGUAAUGGAGGAAGCCCUUCGGGGCAGGAAGACAGGUGGUGCAUGGUUGUCGUCAGCUCGUGUCGUGAGAUGUUGGGUUAAGUCCCGCAACGAGCGCAACCCUUAUCGUUAGUUGCUACCAUUAAGUUGAGCACUCUAACGAGACUGCCGCGGUUAACGUGGAGGAAGGUGGGGAUGACGUCAAAUCAUCAUGCCCCUUAUGUCUAGGGCUACACACGUGCUACAAUGGCCGGUACAACGAGAUGCAAACCCGUGAGGGGGAGCCAAACUUCAAAGCCGGUCCCAGUUCGGAUUGUAGGCUGAAACUCGCCUACAUGAAGUCGGAGUUGCUAGUAAUCGCGAAUCAGCAUGUCGCGGUGAAUACGUUCCCGGGUCUUGUACACACCGCCCGUCACACCAUGAGAGCCGGUAACACCCGAAGUCCGUGAGGUAACCUUUAUGGAGCCAGCGGCCGAAGGUGGGAUUGGUGAUUGGGGUGAAGUCGUAACAAGGUAGCCGUAGGAGAACCUGCGGCUGGAUCACCUCCUUUCU
rnacentral:rRNA from 1 species